rnacentral:lncRNA from 1 species
UUUUCAGAAGUGCCCAGGAUAGGGACUGGUUAGAGAGGGCUGCUGCCAGGACAACAGAAAGCAAACACUGUUGAAGGUGUCAUCAGUUCUGAGGAUGUGGGUAGUUGGAGUUUGGACUUCAUGAUCCAUUUGGAACAGUCUAUGGGUCUGUGCUACAAGUGAAGAAAGGAUUUGUGAAGAGGUACACAUGUGCUCUGGCCUUGGGGGAGAAGAGAAGCCACUCAUGAGAUCAGAAGCAAUUUAAAGGACAAAAAAAAGUCAGCUUCCUCUGGG